rnacentral:rRNA from 1 species
UACAGAGGGUGCAAGCGUUGCUCGGAAUCAUUGGGCGUAAAGGGUAGGUAGGUGGUCUCAUUUGUCUGGGGUGAAAGCCCAGGGCUUAACCCUGGAAGUGCCCCGGAAACGGUGAGACUGGAGUACUGGAGAGGGUCGUGGAAUUCCCGGUGUAGCGGUGAAAUGCGUAGAGAUCGGGAGGAACACCAGCGGCGAAGGCGGCGACCUGGACAGUUACUGACACUCAACUACGAAAGCGUGGGGAGCAAACAGG